rnacentral:rRNA from 1 species
AGAGUUUGAUCAUGGCUCAGGAUGAACGCUAGCUACAGGCUUAACACAUGCAAGUCGAGGGGAAACGACAUCGAAAGCUUGCUUUUGAUGGGCCGUCGACCGGCGCACGGGGUCGAGUAACGCGUAUCCAACCUGCCCACCACUUGGGGAUAACCUUGCGAAAGUAAGACUAAUACCCAAUGAUAUCUCUAGAAGACAUCUGAAAGAGAUUAAAGAUUUAUCGGUGAUGGAUGGGGAUGCGUCUGAUUAGCCUUGUUGGCGGGGUAACGGCCCACCAAGGCAACGAUCAGUAGGGGUUCUGAGAGGAAGGUCCCCCACAUUGGAACUGAGACACGGUCCAAACUCCUACGGGAGGCAGCA